rnacentral:rRNA from 1 species
UGGGGAAUAUUGGACAAUGGGCGAAAGCCUGAUCCAGCCAUGCCGCGUGUGUGAAGAAGGUCUUCGGAUUGUAAAGCACUUUAAGUUGGGAGGAAGGGCAUUAACCUAAUACGUUAGUGUUUUGACGUUACCGACAGAAUAAGCACCGGCUAACUCUGUGCCAGCAGCCGCGGUAAUACAGAGGGUGCAAGCGUUAAUCGGAAUUACUGGGCGUAAAGCGCGCGUAGGUGGUUUGUUAAGUUGGAUGUGAAAUCCCCGGGCUCAACCUGGGAACUGCAUGCAAAACUGACUGACUAGAGUAUGGUAGAGGGUGGUGGAAUUUCCUGUGUAGCGGUGAAAUGCGUAGAUAUAGGAAGGAACACCAGUGGCGAAGGCGACCACCUGGACUAAUACUGACACUGAGGUGCGAAAGCGUGGGGAGCAAACA